GGCUGGUCCGAGUGCAGUGGUGUUUACAACUAAUAGAUCACAACAACUUACAGAUUUCUUUGUUCCUUCUUCACUUCCACUGCUUUACUUGCCUAGCCUAAA
rnacentral:Y_RNA from 1 species